rnacentral:rRNA from 1 species
UGGACUUGACAUGUAGGUGGUAGGAACCCGAAAGGGCGACGACCUAGUUUUCUAGGAGCCUACAC